rnacentral:piRNA from 1 species
GAAGACGUGAUUUCUUUGGUAGCCUCUCC